rnacentral:rRNA from 1 species
CAAUAGCGUAUAUUAAAGUUGUUGCGGUUAAAAAGCUCGUAGUUGGAUCUCGGCAGGCAGGGGGUGGUUCGCUCUUAGCGCUACUGCCCCAUUUGCCUGUGUGAUUGGCGGAGGUUUCGGGGUGCUCUUCGUUGAGUGACCCGGGGCGCCGUCAGGUUUACUUUGAAAAAAUUAGAGUGCUCAAAGCAGGCUUUUCACGCUUGAAUAUUCGUGCAUGGAAUAAUGGAAUAGGAACUCGUUUCUAUUUUGUUGGUUUUCGGAAAUCGAGUUAAUGAUUAAUAGGGACAAUUGGGGGCAUUAGUAUUCAGACGACAGAGGUGAAAUUCUUGGAUCGUCUGAAGACUAACUACUGCGAAAGCAUUUGCCAAGAGUGUUUUCAUUAA